rnacentral:rRNA from 1 species
GAUAAACGCUGGCGGCGUGCCUAACACAUGCAAGUCGAACGCCCUUACGCAAGUAAGGGAGUGGCGGACGGGUGAGGAACACGUGGGUGAUCUGCCUUGAGGUGAGGAAUACCGGCGAGAAAUCGCCGACAAUACCGCAUACGUUCGUAAGAACAAAGUCGCAAGACGCCUUGAGAUGAGCCUGCGUCCGAUUAGCUAGUUGGUGGGGUAAAAGCCUACCAAGGCAGCGANCGGUAGCUGGUCUGAGAGGACGAUCAGCCACACUGGGAUUGAGAACGGCCCAGACUCCUACGGGGGGCGAGCG